UGGUGGAGUGAUUUGUCUGGUUAAUUCCGUCAACGAACGAGACCUUAACCUGCUAAAUGGCUACGCGUAGCUUCGGUUACGUGGGCAACUUCUUAGAGGGACGUUGCGUGUCUAACGCAAGGAAGUUUGAGGCAAUAACA
rnacentral:rRNA from 1 species